CUCGGUUUCCUGUCACUAUACGUUAGUGGCUAUUUAUUUAUAGUUAUACGCUAUUUUUGUUAUUUUACCAAGCUUCGCGCCAUUGCCGUUGCAUACAACCGAUAUUCAUUGCAAUAAAUACAUCACGGAAAUAAUUGAUAUUUAAUUAUUUAUUUCAAUGGAAACACCAAAUUAAAUUAAUUAUUUGACUAAUAGAGAUUGUUGUUCACAGCAUUAUUACUUACAUGUGGCACUAUUGUUUAGCACUGGUAGAAGUGAGUGGAACAAUUGUUUUCUCAUAAAAACGACGAGCCUGCCGAGAGUCCAUUUGCGUUUCACUAUAAAAUUUAACGGCGUCUCUAUCUUAUGCCAUGGCUCUUAUUCAUCGAAUAGACAUAGAGCGCUAAUAACUAAUAGCGGCGACAAGGGAUAUUACUGUAUUUAAAAAUGAAAGAGAAAAAAUUUUAAAAUUAAAAGCCUAUUUAGAAGAUGGACUUUUCAGAUAUCCAUAAUGUUCAUUAUUAAAUAUUUAUGACUUCCAAUGGAUAUCUAAAAGAUAUCCGAAUGUCCGGUUUUCGGCAUUUCUGGAUAUGCUAUUUCAAUAUCCAUUGGUUAUUUGUUGAAGUUAUUCAUGAGAUGUAUUAUAUUAUCUAAUCCUAAUGGAUGACCACAAGUUAUUAUUUAUAUACUUCAGUAUAUGGAUUAUAUAUCCGGUGGGUGAUAACUUGAGAUAUUUUUUUUAGGUAUACAGGAAC